rnacentral:rRNA from 1 species
UUAGAAAAAAAGUAGUUAUAGUCUUCAUAACUCAAAGAAUUUGGCGGUUAAUAAAAGUUUUUAGAGGAAUCUGUAUUAUAAUUGAUAUUCCACGAUAGUCUUUACCUAUUUUUUAUUUGUAUAUCUCUAUGGUUAAUAGAUUGUUUUUAGAAAAAUUUUCUUAUUGUUUAUUCACAUAUUUUAGGUCAAGGUGCAGUUUUAAAUAGGUAAAUGUGGGUUACUAUUUUUAAAAAUCAUUAUGAUAUAAUGAGAAAGGAUUUAAAAGUAAAUUUAAUUAAUUCAUUAAAUUGAAUAUU